rnacentral:rRNA from 1 species
CAGCAGCCGCGGUAAUACAGAGGAUGCAAGCGUUAUCCGGAAUGAUUGGGCGUAAAGCGUCUGUAGGUGGCUUUUCAAGUCCGCCGUCAAAUCCCAGGGCUCAACCCUGGACAGGCGGUGGAAACUACCAAGCUGGAGUACGGUAGGGGCAGAGGGAAGUUCCGGUGGAGCGGUGAAAUGCGUUGAGAUCGGAAGGAACACCAACGGCGAAAGCACUCUGCUGGGCCGACACUGACACUGAGAGACGAAAGCUAGGGGAGCAAAUGGGAUUAGUUACCCCCGUAGUCCCUGUCUCUUAUAC